ACACAGUUAGUAUAGAAUGUAUUUUAAAUUUAGGUUUUAACGGAUGUAAUGUGUUU
rnacentral:tRNA from 1 species